rnacentral:rRNA from 1 species
UACAGAGGGGGCAAGCGUUGUUCGGAAUUACUGGGCGUAAAGGGCGCGUAGGCGGCCUUCUAAGUCGAACGUGAAAUCCCUGGGCUCAACCCAGGAACUGCGUCCGAUACUGGAAGGCUUGAAUCCGGGAGAGGGAUGCGGAAUUCCAGGUGUAGCGGUGAAAUGCGUAGAUAUCGGGAGGAACACCAGUGGCGCAAGCGGCCGCCUGGCACUGACCUGACACUGAGCCACGACGGCGUGGGGAGCAAACGGG